CUGGCCCUGAUCUGACACACAUGCUGCCUUGCACCUGAGGCUCCUUCUUGGCUUACCAUGAUCCAGGGAGACUCUGGACACAGGAUCCACGUGGGCUCCUUAGUGGGAUGACCUUCCAACACUUAUGCCAAGAGGGCUCCCACCCUCACACACCCUUGUGCCAGCUGCUGGGAUUGCAGUGUGACUCAGAGCUGCUGGAGAAGCUGCAGAGAAACAGAAAAUGUCUCAGGCACGAACUUACUCAGUGGGAAAAAGGAGAUGUUUUCACAUAGCAUGAUAUGUCUGCAAAGUUCAGGAAAUAUUGUCUCACUUUUUGAUGCACACCAACAUCCCUGUCCAGUGCAGAAGCCUCGUGGGAACUUGCUGUGGGCAAGAAAGGGAAAUUCAACAUAUGGCUGUGUUAGGAGAGUGUGGUCACAACUGAGCAGUGAGUGCUGGAAUGAGGAACCCUCAGCACUGGGAUUUGGUCUGAAGAGCAUCAUCACAUAUGUCUGUUUGCAUUUUUAUGAAUAAAUCAAAAGAGAGAUGACAACUAUGUAUCUAAUAGGAUGUGUUCUAAAAACUGUUUUAAUGGAUUUUAAUUAUGUAAAUAUAAAGAAAAUAGAAACAAUACCAUAAAAACCUCAGUGAACAUUAACACUUGUAUAAUACAAUUAUUAGCAUGUUACUAAUACAAACAAAAAAGACCUUUAAUAUUUUAGUCAAAAUAACCUUGAAGAAUAUUAUCUCUGUGCCUAUCUUCUAGUGAAAGUCUAUGGAAGAAACACCAAACAGCCUUUCAGGUCUUUUAAAGUUUCAUUUCCUUUUUGCUUAUCCCAGGAGGAUGACAGCAGAGUGGUCUUUUUCCAAAAAUUCUCAGAAGGAAAUUAAAAAUACUGCAGAAGGAAAGACAAA
rnacentral:lncRNA from 1 species